GCUAAUACAUGCAAGUCGAGCGGACAGAAGGGAGCUUGCUCCCGGAUGUUAGCGGCGGACGGGUGAGUAACACGUGGGUAACCUGCCUGUAAGACUGGGAUAACUCCGGGAAACCGGAGCUAAUACCGGAUAGUUCCUUGAACCGCAUGGUUCAAGGAUGAAAGACGGUUUCGGCUGUCACUUACAGAUGGACCCGCGGCGCAUUAGCUAGUUGGUGAGGUAACGGCUCACCAAGGCGACGAUGCGUAGCCGACCUGAGAGGGUGAUCGGCCACACUGGGACUGAGACACGGCCCAGACUCCUACGGGAGGCAGCAGUAGGGAAUCUUCCGCAAUGGACGAAAGUCUGACGGAGCAACGCCGCGUGAGUGAUGAAGGUUUUCGGAUCGUAAAGCUCUGUUGUUAGGGAAGAACAAGUGCAAGAGUAACUGCUUGCACCUUGACGGUACCUAACCAGAAAGCCACGGCUAACUACGUGCCAGCAGCCGCGGUAAUACGUAGGUGGCAAGCGUUGUCCGGAAUUAUUGGGCGUAAAGGGCUCGCAGGCGGUUUCUUAAGUCUGAUGUGAAAGCCCCCGGCUCAACCGGGGAGGGUCAUUGGAAACUGGGAAACUUGAGUGCAGAAGAGGAGAGUGGAAUUCCACGUGUAGCGGUGAAAUGCGUAGAGAUGUGGAGGAACACCAGUGGCGAAGGCGACUCUCUGGUCUGUAACUGACGCUGAGGAGCGAAAGCGUGGGGAGCGAACAGGAUUAGAUACCCUGGUAGUCCACGCCGUAAACGAUGAGUGCUAAGUGUUA
rnacentral:rRNA from 1 species